rnacentral:rRNA from 1 species
UGGCUGUUCGCCAUUUAAAGUGGUACGCGAGCUGGGUUUAGAACGUCGUGAGACAGUUCGGUCCCUAUCUGCCGUGGGCGCUGGAGAACUGAGGGGGGCUGCUCCUAGUACGAGAGGACCGGAGUGGACGCAUCACUGGUGUUCGGGUUGUCAUGCCAAUGGCACUGCCCGGUAGCUAAAUGCGGAAGAGAUAAGUGCUGAAAGCAUCUAAGCACGAAACUUGCCCCGAGAUGAGUUCUCCCUGAGACUUAGAGUCUCCUGAAGGAACGUUGAAGACGACGACGUUGAUAGGCCGGGUGUGUAAGCGCAGCGAUGCGUUGAGCUAACCGGUACUAAUGAACCGUGAGGCUUAACCUUACAACGCCGAAG